CCUACGGGAGGCAGCAGUAGGGGAUAUUGCACAAUGGGGGCAACCCUGAUGCAGCGACGCCGCGUGGAGGAAGAAGCUUUUCGGCGUGUAAACCCCUGUCAUCAGAGAAGAAAAUGACGGUACCUGACGAAGAAGCCCCGGCUAACUCCGUGCCAGCAGCCGCGGUAAUACGGAGGGGGCAAGCGUUAUUCGGAUGUACUGGGCGUUAAGGGCGCGUAUGCGGGAUAGCAAGUCAGACGGGAAAGCCCAUGGCUCAACCAUAGGACUGCUUUUGAAACUGUUUGUCUAGAGUACAGGAGAGGCAGGUGGAAUUCUUGGUGUAGCGGGGAAAUGCGUAGAGAUCAGGAGGAAUACGCAUGGCGAAGGCGGCCUGCUAGACCAUAACUGACGCUGAGGCGCGAAAGCGUGGGGAGCAAACAGGAUUAGAUACCCGAGUAGUC
rnacentral:rRNA from 1 species